rnacentral:rRNA from 1 species
UACGGAGGAUCCAAGCGUUAUCCGGAAUCAUUGGGUUUAAAGGGUCCGUAGGCGGGACAAUAAGUCAGCGGUGAAAGUCUGUGGCUCAACCAUAGAAUUGCCAUUGAUACUGUUGUUCUUGAGUGUUUAUGAAGUGGUUAGAAUAUGUAGUGUAGCGGUGAAAUGCAUAGAUAUUACAUAGAAUACCGAUUGCGAAGGCAGGUCACUAAUAAAAUACUGACGCUGAUGGACGAAAGCGUAGGUAGCGAACAGG